rnacentral:rRNA from 1 species
UACGGGGGGGGCAAGCGUUGUUCGGAAUUACUGGGCGUAAAGGGCUCGUAGGCGGCCAACUAAGUCAGACGUGAAAUCCCUCGGCUUAACCGGGGAACUGCGUCUGAUACUGGAUGGCUUGAGAUUGGGAGAGGGAUGCGGAAUUCCAGGUGUAGCGGUGAAAUGCGUAGAUAUCUGGAGGAACACCGGUGGUGUAAACGGCUUUCUGGACCGUAACUGACGCUGAUGCACGAAAGCGUGGGUAGCAAACAGG